UCUUCCCAUCUGGGCGCCCUGGAAUGGGUUCGCCCCCGAGAGAGGGGCCCGCGCCUUGGAAAGCGUCGCGGUUCCGGCGGCGUCUGGUGAGCUCUCGCUGGCCCUUGAAAAAA